CGUGGGUGAAGAAGGUCUUCGGAUUGUAAAGCCCUUUCGGCGGGGACGAUGAUGACGGUACCCGCAGAAGAAGCCCCGGCUAACUUCGUGCCAGCAGCCGCGGUAAUACGAAGGGGGCUAGCGUUGCUCGGAAUGACUGGGCGUAAAGGGCGCGUAGGCGGCUCUCAUCGUCGGGCGUGAAAUUCCUGGGCUUAACCUGGGGGCUGCGUUCGAUACGUGGGGGCUUGAGUGUGGGAGAGGGUCGUGGAAUUCCCAGUGUAGAGGUGAAAUUCGUAGAUAUUGGGAAGAACAUCGGUGGCGAAGGCGGCGACCUGGUCCAUGACUGACGCUGAGGCGCGAAAGCGUGGGGAGCAAACAGGAUUAGAUACCCUGGUAGUCCACGCUGUAAACGAUGUGCGCUGGAUGUUGGGUGGCGUAGCUGCUCAGUGUCGUAGCUAACGUGGUAAGCGCACCGCCUGGGGAGUACGGCCGCAAGGUUGAAACUCAAAGGAAAUUGACGG
rnacentral:rRNA from 1 species